CAGGUGGUUCGCAUGCAAAUAGAAAGGAAGGAGACGACAUCUGGCUUCUGCGGAUGGUUUUCGCGUGGUUUUGAUCUGAUGGGAGACGGAGAUAUCAACGAGAGCUUUGAUCUGGAUUCUGCCAACAUAGAGAAAAAGAGAGGAGACGAAGAAAGAAACUUGAAAUAUCAUGUCAGGCUUUGGAAAUUGAGGUAGCCCACGAAGGUGAAUGGCUCUCUCGCUCUUUUCUUUAUCAACGAUCAACGAUGUUGGGGGGUUGACUGAUUGUAUACAGAGUUUUUAAUUUGAUGUUUCACCAGUCUACUCUGGGUGGGUUUGCUUAUAAAUAUAAGGAAUAGAUUCCUACUUACAGUUUCAGUGAAAUUUGUUCUGCACAUUUUUAAUUGGGCAGUGAGAAUUGUGAUUAGGGGAGUUCAAUUUGUUUGAUUGGGGUUGUGAGAUUAUUGUCGAAUUCGUGAAAUUCGAGGUUUAUAGGAGAAAAGAUAAAGCCAACGUGGGUUGUGUGAAAUUUUGAUACUUUUGCUUAUUGAAGAAUAGAACGACAGUGAGUUGAACUGGGUUGGGUUGUGUUCUCCCUGUUUUGGUGGCUGAAUUGAAUUCAUAUCUACCUUCAAGUUCAAACUGAAAGAGCCAAGCAGAACAGAUUUUCAUCAAUGUUCCAUUUUGGUACUAUUGUCUCCACUCUUGACUAAACGAACCAAGAGCAAGUUUGUUGUGGCUCUCCCCCUGCUAAGGUCCCUGAGACUCUUCUCAAGUACAUUACAGCUGAGAAGAUACUGAUUCAGUAUGGUGGUUUCAAGAGAGAAAAUGAUACCAAGUUCUUCUUCUCUGAAGAUGGUUCUGUUUUUGAGCAACUCUCAAGGCCGUAUCAAAGCAAACCAUAGAAAUUGAUGCAGCUCAGGUUUGCACUUGCUACUAUGCACGUAAAUGAAGUAGUGCUGCAUUUGAGUGUUGCAGAUGCAAAUCCACUGUUUUUGUAACCAAAAUGGAACAACACCCACCCUUGCUAGGCUUGCUUCUUUUAUUAGUGUGAGAUUAGUGUGAGUGAGAGUGUGGUGUGAUUUGUUUGUUGGAUCCAGAUCCUCUCAUUGACUGAGACUUGUCCUUGACUUUAAUUAUGAACCAUAGAUUAUAAAUCCAAAGGGUCAUACAAUGACACCUCAGCAAAAUAACUUUAAAACCUCA